rnacentral:rRNA from 1 species
AGGGUUCGAUUCUGGCUCAGGAUGAACGCUGACAGAAUGCUUAACACAUGCAAGUCUACUUGAUCCUUCGGGUGAUGGUGGCGGACGGGUGAGUAACGCGUAAAGAACUUGCCCUGCAGUCUGGGACAACAUUUGGAAACGAAUGCUAAUACCGGAUAUUAUGUGAGUUUCGCAUGAAAUUCAUAUGAAAGCUAUAUGCGCUGCAGGAGAGCUUUGCGUCCUAUUAGCUAGUUGGUGAGGUAACGGCUCACCAAGGCGAUGAUAGGUAGCCGGCCUGAGAGGGUGAACGGCCACAAGGGGACUGAGACACGGCCCUU